GACGAACGCUGGCGGCGUGCCUAAUACAUGCAAGUAGAACGAGUUGCGAACGGGUGAGUAACGCGUGGUAACCUGCCUCAUAGCGGGGGAUAACUAUUGGAAACGAUAGCUAAUACCGCAUACUUGGAAAUGGACCUGCGUUGUCUUAGCUAGUUGGUGAGGUAAAGGCUCAACAAGGCGACGAUACAUAGCCGACCUGAGAGGGUGAUCGGCCACACUGGAACUGAGACACGGUCCAGACUCCUACGGUAGGCAGCAGUGGGGAAUAUUGCACAAUGGGCGCAAGCCUGAUGCAGCCAUGCCGCGUGUAUGAAGAAGGCCUUCGGGUUGUAAAGUACUUUCAGCGGGGAGGCGUUACCCGCAGAAGAAGCACCGGCUAACUCCGUGCCAGCAGCCGCGGUAAUAC
rnacentral:rRNA from 1 species